AUUGAACGCUGGCGGCAGGCCUAACACAUGCAAGUCGAACGAGUGGCGGACGGGUGAGUAAUGUCUGGGAAACUGCCCGAUGGAGGGGGAUAACUACUGGAAACGGUAGCUAAUACCGCAUACCAUCGGAUGUGCCCAGAUGGGAUUAGCUAGUAGGUGGGGUAACGGCUCACCUAGGCGACGAUCACUAGCUGGUCUGAGAGGAUGACCAGCCACAACGGAACUGGGGCAAGGUCCAGACGCCGACGGGAGGGAGCAAUGGGGAAAUAUGGACAAUGGGCGCAAGGCUGAAGCAGUCAUGCCGCGGGUUAGAAGAAGGCCUUCGGGGUGGAAAGUACUUGCAGGGGGGAAGCGGUACUCGCAGAAGAAGCACCGGCUAACUCCGUGCCAACAGCCGCGGUAAUAC
rnacentral:rRNA from 1 species